rnacentral:rRNA from 1 species
UACGUAGGUGACCAGCGUUGUCCGGAUUUACUGGGCGUAAAGAGCGCGCAGGCGGUCGUUCAAGUCGAGUGUGAAAGCCCCCGGCUCAACUGGGGAGGGUCACUCGAUACUGAUCGACUUGAAGGCAGGAGAGGGAAGCGGAAUUCCCGGUGUAGUGGUGAAAUGCGUAGAUAUCGGGAGGAACACCAGUGGCGAAGGCGGCUUCCUGGCCUGUUCUUGACGCUGAGGCGCGAAAGCUAGGGGAGCAAGCGGG